GACGAACGCUGGCGGCGUGCUUAACACAUGCAAGCCGAACGGAAAGGGCUUGUCGGUGCGGGGUGCGCGAGGGGCGAACGGGGGAGAAGCAUGCGAGCAACCUUCCUUUGACGGUGGGACAACCUCAGGAAACUUGAGUAAAUAAUGGAUAGUUGCUUGUCCUCAAUUGUGGUGGUUGGAUAGUGUCGGCGGUUGUGGAUGGACUCGCGGGUUAUCAGUUUGUUGGUGGAGUAGUGGCUUACCAAGGGUUUGACGGGGAGCCGGCCUGAGAGGGUGACCGGCCACAUUGGGACUGAGCUACGGCCCGGAGUCGUACGGGAGGCAGCAGUGGGGAAUAUUGCACAAUGGGCGCAUGCCGGAUGCAGCAACGCCGCGUGAGGGAUUACGGCCUUCGGGUUGUAAACCGCUUUCGCCCGUGACGAAGCGUGAGUGACGGUAAUAUGCAAAGAAGCACCGGCUAACUCCGUG
rnacentral:rRNA from 1 species